rnacentral:rRNA from 1 species
GAGUUUGAUCGUGGCUCAGAACGAACGCUGGCGGCGUGGAUAAGACAUGCAAGUCGAACGCUGGUCGCGAGGUAGCAAUAUUUCGUGGCCGGAGUGGCGCAAGGGUGCGUAACACGUGGGCAAUUUGCCGUGAAGUUGGGGAUAACCCCGAGAAAUCGGGACUAAUACCGAAUGUGGCUUCCGGGAGGCAUCUCCUGGCAGCCGAAGCUGGGGACCGCAAGGCCUGGCGCUUCACGAUGAGCCCGCGGCCUAUCAGCUUGUUGGCGGGGUAACGGCCCACCAAGGCUAGGACGGGUAGCUGGUCUGAGAGGACGACCAGCCACACUGGAACUGAGACACGGUCCAGACACCUACGGGUGGCAGCAGUCGAGAAUCUUUCACAAUGGGCGAAAGCCUGAUGGAGCGACGCCGCGUGGGGGAUGAAUGGCUUCGGCCCGUAAACCCCUGUCAUUCGCGAGCAAGGCUGCCGGCCUAAUACGUCGGCGGUUGAUAGUAGCGAAAGAGGAA